rnacentral:rRNA from 1 species
UACGUAGGUGGCGAGCGUUAUCCGGAUUUACUGGGUAUAAAGGGCGUGUAGGCGUGUUUGCAAGUCGGGUGUGAAAUAUCCAGGCUUAACUUGGAUGGGUCAUCCGAAACUGCAGAUCUUGAGUGCUGGAGAGGAUAGUGGAAUUCCUGGUGUAGCGGUAAAAUGCGUAGAUAUCAGGAGGAACACCAGUGGCGAAGGCGGCUAUCUGGACAGUAACUGACGCUGAGGCGCGAAAGCGUGGGUAGCAAACAGGAUUAGA